AUCCCUAUGCUCACCACCACUCCCACACUCUCUCAGAGCUCUUGACCAUUUUUAGGACACUCUCGACUGCUUUCUAUGCUCCACAGUCACUCUCUGUGCUCCACAGCCAUUACCUGAGACCUCUGGCCACAGUCACUCUCUGUGCUGUCAGGCCUCUUUUAUAGGCCUCAAAAUCACUUUGGAUCGAAAUUAGAGUCUCCAUAGGUCUCAAAAAAUAGUUCUGACCAUC
rnacentral:lncRNA from 1 species